AAACCACUUUUAACCCAGACAGAUUCAUUUUGCAGCUCUGUUUGAGUGUUUCCAGCCUGGGAAUGGUGCUUGCCAGAGGAAAUGGAAUGCGUGCCCCAGCUGAACCCCUGCCCAGCACCGCGGUCUAAGGAGGGCUCGGGAUAAUAAUAGUGGCAUGUGGCACAUUUCAACAUUUCACACACUUGCACCAACUUCCGGGGAACCUCGAGGCAGUCAUUCCUGAUGCCAUCGAAGUUGGUGAUCUAUUCUGGUGUAUGAGAACUAAAAAUAACCUCACUUGUCCUCCUUAUCCUGCUUCUGAUACAACUUAAGGACAAAAAGAAAACAGACUCUUGGCCAAACUUCUUUUUCUGUUGUUCGCAGAUCUCAUGCAGACACAGUGUCUGAAGGGGGACCUGCCCUUCUGAGCCCAGCCUUUCCGUGCUUUCUGCUUUGAGCGGCUGCCCGACCACGCUUUUCGCGUGAUGGCCGUAGCUAUUCCAGGAAUGGAAUUCAGGCAGGGACAGGGCUGAUUCUGCAAGAUGAGAAACAAUUCCAAGUCUCAGGACUUUGACACGUUCCAAGAGGGGGCAAUGUGUGUUUAGGGAAAUGGCUCUUCUGGCAAACUGAAUUCUUUUAUCGAUUAGCACAUGAUAAAUUAUUUCUGAAACAGUUGAAAGACGGUUUAGCAAAUACUGUGGAAAGCAGUCUGAACUGUUGUCCCUAUAUGGAGCUGGGUUCCUGGCAGGAUUUUUUGUUUUUUACAAUUUGUGCCCCCUUUCCCUUAGCCCACCCUCCUCAUGAAAUGCAGAGCCACAAAUAUACUGAACAGCAGUGAAUGCAUUGUAUGUGUGUCUGUGCUCUAUGUACAAAAGGUGUAAAAUUUUUUGUACCUCUCCCAAAGAAGCAGUCGUCAACCUCUUAGGGUUCUAGUUGCCCCUGUGGGCAGUGGCAUGGUUUGCAGCUUAAGAAAAGCUUUCUCUAGGGAGAUGGGUGAUGUUUCCCUAUGCCUGUUUACGAAGGCAUUGCUUGUAGUGGCUUCACCAGGAAGCCAGGCUUCACCAGGCUCAGCAUCUGGCUGUGCUGGAGAACAGAACGCUCUGGGAGCUGGGCUUCCGUGAUGGCCUUGAGCCUUCCCAGGGACCCUGCCACACAAGUGCUCCCGUGACUCUCCCGUGUGCAUUCGGAUCAAUGCCAGAUCCUGGAAUGGCUUGUCAAUAACCUGAUCCAUCUUAACUUAGGACAAGGAAAAAGAUGGGAUAAAGACAGAAAUAGAGUUUUCUUGUAAGUAAGACAUCAUGGGACACUACACUCUCUGAGUACCAUAAGUCUUUUCCCACUGUUGCCCAAGUGUCAUCGUUUGGGGCUGUUUAGUGGUACCAGGAGGGCUACACUUCUGCUAUUGGAUAUGUCAUGGGGUUUUCAUAUUUUAUGUGAAUAGGAAUGUGUUAUUCAUCCAAGUGAUGAAAAUGUGGCUCUAGGGGCUGGCGCUGUGGUGUAACAGGUAAAGUUGCCGCCUGCAGUGCCAGCAUCUCAUAUGGGUGCUAGUUCGAGUCCCGGCUGUUCCACUUCCGAUCCAGCUCUCUUCUAUGGCCUGGGAAAUCAGUGGAAGAUAGGCCAAGUCCUUGGGUCCCUGCACCUGCAUGGGAGACCUGGAAGAAACUCCUGGCUCCUGGCUUCGGAUCAGUACAGUUCCAGCUGUUGCAGCCAAUUAUGGAAUAAGCCAGCGGAUGGAAGACCUCUCUCUCUCUCUCUCUGCCUCUCCUUCUCUCUCUGUGUAACUCUUUCAAAUAAAUAACUAAAAAAUAACUAAAAAAAAAAAAGAAAAGAAAAUGUGGCUUUCAGAGGUUCUCAGUGAAAAUAUCAAUGGGAUAUACAGGCCAACUGGGGGUAUUGUGCAUGUAUAGUUUUAGAAGUUUUUGCAACUUUUUAAUUAUGAAGAAAAUGUCUACUCAGAUUUUUAUAGCAUAUCCUCUUAGCUCUCCCAUUGCUAAGGAUUGUUUAGAAAUGUGGGCAAAUCCAUUGUCUUGGAAAUUUCUACAAACAGCAGUUUUUGGAAUUGCCACUUAUUUAUUUAUUUUUAAAUAUUUACUUAUUUAUUUGAAAGGUAGAGUUAUGGACAGAGAGAAGGAGAGACAGAGAAUCUUCCAUCCGCUGGUUCACUCCCCAGAUGGCCGCAAUAGCCAAGGCUGUGCCAGGCUGAAGCCAGAAGUUAGGAGCCUCUUCUGAGUCCCCCAUGUGGGUGCAGAGGCCCAGGGACUUGGGCCAUCUUCUGCUGCCCUCCCAGGUACGCUAGCAGGGAGCUGGCUUGGAAGUGGAUCACUGGAAACUCGAACUGGCACCCAUAGGGGAUGCUGGCACUGCACGCCAUGGCUUAACCCUCUGCACCACAGUGCUGGCCCCUGGAACCAUUAUUUAUAGAGAUACGAGAGAGUCCUGUUUGUGAUAGUAAUGUUGUCUGUGUCCGUUCAGAACCUGAAACGAUGAAAAGGUUUCCUCAGGCUCUGUACAGAUACCUGCCCAGGAAAAGUUCUGGGCAUUCUUGACAAGAGACAGAUGAGGCAUGUUGAUGUUAAUUUCCAUCCACUUCUUAAAUUGAUUAAAAUGAUUUUUGAUACCAUUUCUGCAAUUUGUGGUAGUAUAAAAGUAUUUCUCUUUCUAUAAGUUAAAGUAGCAGAGUUAAAACUAAAUAUUGCAAUGCCGUGUUCCUUCAUAAGAGAAUGGUUAACAGACUUGAUCAUGAAAUUCCUAUUUACAGUUGACCAAACUACGUUCCUAUCGACUUAUCUAAAACAUAACAACUGUAAAAUGCUUGACUAUCUACUGUUUUUCCCUAGAGUUCGCUUCUUCACACACCACCUUCAUGAUUUUUGCUGUGCAGUGGGGCCUCUGUCCGCAGGGUCUGCAACUCCAGAUUCAAUUCCAGAUAGGAAAUAUUUGAAAAACAGAAUUGAGUCUGUACGAAAGGUUUUCUGUUUGACUUUGCAAAGAAUUAUUGAGCCCUGCUGCAUGACAGACUCCGUGUUGUUUGUUCUUGGACUCUCUAAUAAUAACUUCCAAAUGUGACUUGGAGGGCAAAUACUUGAGACACAAGCCGUUUCACUCGCCACAGCUGCUGGUGAUGUCAAAAGAGGCGGGGGCUGAAGCAGCAGGACCGUCUCUGUACAAGGUGAACACAGGGUGUGGAUUGGGAGCUGCUCUUCUCCUUUAUGAGACAAGGUUUCUGCACGGACGUUUCCGUAGACAGCGUGGCCAUCCCUGAUCAUUCAGAAGCCUAGACACUCAUUUCCUUCCACUUUUCUGGAUGAGUAUGUUGGAUGGCUAUGAAACCACUCAUCCAUUCUACACUCUUCAAGGUCUGUGUGUGUGUUCCUGAUUACGAUUCACGCCUUUGGACUUGGGUGUAUCUCUACUUGCUGAUUUUAUUUGAUAGGUACUCCUCUCUAUGUGCCAGAACUUGUUCUAAGUACUGUAUAAGGAGACAUUCAAACACUUUCCUGAUUGGCUCUCCUGGGAAUAAUAACAACCACUAAAAUUUAGGUUGUGUUUAUCCUGUCCCAGGCACCAAGCUAAGCUCUCUCAUACAGUGUUCAUCUUCCCAAAGGCCCCAUGAAAUUGCUGUAAUUAUUACCUGUUUUUAUAGACAAGUAAACUGAGGCUUCCUAAAGUUAUGCAACUAACAUGCCACGUUAUCUCCUUCUGAAUAGAUUAGUUUGCCAAAUAUAUGAAAGAUACACUUUGACUUAUUUAAAAAUUAUUUAUUUAUUUGAAGGGAGAGACAUCUUCUAUCCACUUGCUCAAUCUUCAAAUGGUCAGAAUGUCCAGGGUUGGGCUAGGCAAAAUGAGGAGCCUAGAACUCUAUCCAGGUCUCCCACAUGGGUGACAAGAGACCAUGACCUUGGUCCAUCAUCUGCUGCUUUUCUUUCUCAGGCACAUUAACAGGGAGCUGGAGAGGGGUAGAGUAUGCAGGACUCAAACCAUGCUAUGAUAUGGGAUGCUGGCAUAAAAAGCUGUGGCUUAUCUCACUGUGCCAAAAUCAUCAGCCUCUAUUUGUAGAAAUUUUAAGUAGAAAUUUAACUUUUUUUAAUUUUUAAAAAGUUUUCAAAAUUUAUUAUUUUCAUUUUUUUGAAAGAGAGCGAGAAUUAGAGAAAGAGAGAGAGAGAACAGAGAUCAAUCUUCUUCCAUCUCUUGGUUCAUUGUCUAAAUGCCCACAAUAGCUGGAGCUGGGCCAGGAGCCUAGAACUCAAACUGUGGAUGGCAGGGACCCAGUUACUUGAACCUGCUGCCUCCCAGGGUGCGAUUAGCAGGAAGCUGGAAUCAAAAGUGGAACCGAGACUUGAACCCAGGUACUCCGAUACAGAAUCUGGCAUCCCAAGUGGUGUCUCACCUGCUGUGACAAACACACCCCCCUGAACUAGAAUUUUUUAAAAAUAACUUCACUCUCUUUUAAAGAUUUUUGUUUUAUUUAUUUGAGAGGUAGUUACAGACAGAGAAAGGGAGAGACAGGUGGUUGGAGCUGGGCCAAUCUGAAGCCAGGAGCCAGUAGCUUCCUCCAGGUCUCCCAAGUGGGUGCAGGGGCCCAGGUACUUGAGCCAUUUUCUACUGCUUUCCUAGGCUAUAGCAGAGAGCUGGAUCAGGAGAGCAGCAGCCAGGACUCCAACUGGUGCCCAUAUGGGUUGCUGGCGCUGUAGGCGGAGGCUUAGCCCACUAUGCCACAGCACUGGCCCCGAUACUUCACUUGUUAGAGCAGUUUUAGGUUCACAGCACAAUGGAGAGGUGGGCACAGAGAGAUCCCGUGGUCUCCUGGUCCCUCCCUGCCUUUCACAGUCUUCUGCAUGGGAGACGCCCUCCACCAGAGCAGAGCUUUUGUUACCACUGAUGAACCUACAUGGACACGUGGUCAUCACCCAGAGUCCACGGCUUACGGCAGGGCUCACUCUUGGUGUUGCACAUUCUGGAGGUUUGGAAAAACACCACUACAAUGGCAUUUUUUCCCCCCUGUAACUGUCGCUUUAAAAAGUUUAAACAUGAAGCACUAAGUAUUUGAAAACAAGCCACUCUCACAGAUGAAUUUUCUGAGGACAGUUUGCUUUAUCUUCCCAUGAAUGGAAGUGUGUUUUAUUGGUUGGUGUUUCGGUUAUUUGUUCGAUUUCUUUAACUAAAUGCAGCCAGGCCUGGUGAAUUAAGAACGUCCAGUUUCUUUGCCGGGGUGGAGGUUCUUCUCUGCAGCUGUGAGGUCACAGCGCCCUCCGGUGGGGAGAAGCUGCAAAAGUCACAGCAGGGGCAGCCAAGUCAGGAGCAUUUCAGGCUGGUCUGGGUUGAACUCAAUGUCAGGCCGUUCUUGGUCCACAGGGCCAAGGAAAGACUGCACUGGAACCAGUGUUUCCUAGGGCAGACGGAAUGAGCUGAAGAAGGCAAACUACACACUGUUAGCAUGCUCUAACAUACAUUGCUGUGGAUUACGGGAGGCGUCAACAGUUUCUUUAAGAUCAGUGCUUUAUGAACCUUCAUGCCCGACCAGAGUUGACAUUUGCCUAUUCACAUAUUUUUUGCUAACAGUGAGGAGUUAGCCGGUGCCGCGGCUCAAUAGGCUGAUCCUCUGCCUUGUGGCGCCGGCACACCGGGUUCUAGUCCCAGUCUGGGCGCCGGAUUCUGUCCCGGUUGCCCCUCUUCCAGGCCAGCUCUCUGCUGUGGCCAGGGAGUGCAGUGGAGGAUGGCCCAAGUGCUUGGGCCCUGCACCCCAUGGGAGACCAGGAGAAGCACCUGGCUCCUGCCUUUGGAUCAGUGCAGUGUGCUGGCCGCGGCGGCCAUUGGAGGGUGAAUCAACGGCAAAGAAGACCUUUCUCUCUGUCUCUCUCUCUCACUGUCCACUCUGCCUGUCCAAAAAAAACAAAAAAACAAAAAACACACACAGUGAGGAGUUACAAUAUUACAAUAUGAGACUUUUUUUUUUUUUCCUGUGCAGUAUAGUUAGAGGCAAGACCAAGGCUUGAAUCUCACUUCUGGCUCUUGCUACCUGUAGGAUUCUGAGCACAUGACUUAGCCUCUCUCUGUUUCCUUAUCUGGGGUUAGAAACACCAAGCGCAUGGGGUUGUUGUACAGUUUGGUUAUAGCAAUUCUUGGUAUAAAGAAAACAAGUAGCUCAAUAAAGAAAGCAAUAAGGUUUUUAUUUUUAUUAUUUAUUUAUUUGAAAGGUAGAGAUAGAAGGAGGGGAUGGGGCAGAGAGGGAGAGAGAGAGAUUGAGGUCGAUCUUCCAUCCAUUGGUUCACUUCUCAAAUGGUCGCGAGGGCUGGGACUGGGCUAGGCAGAAGCUCGGAGCCAGGGACUCCAUCUGAGUCUCUCAUCUGGUGACAGGGGCACAAGCCCUUGGACCAUCUUCUGCUGCUUUUGCAGGCACAUGAGCAGGGAGCUGGAUCUGGAGUGGAGCAGCUGGGACUUGAACUGGCACUCCGAUACAGGAUGCCAGUGUCCCAGGCUUCACUCAUUGUGCCACGAUGCUGGUCUCAGCCAUCAGCGUUUACUGUUCCUGGCAGCCACGUGCUUACACAACUCAGGGUGUCUUUCCCACUCAGAGUGCCACCGACCUGGUUUUGUGAGGUCGGCAUCCCACGCCUGACUUCUUCCUGCAGGCAGGCGUUGCCACUGGUCCCAGGCUCCUGGGUUGGGAUCCUUCGACCUCUUGGUGAUGCACUGCCUCACAUCCCACCAGACAUGACACUCUGCAAUGUGAUGCUGGAAACACCUCCCAUCUGUCCUUUCACCCCACUGGAGUGGUGGCAAAUGUGUCACUUUCCCCCACUGUCAUCUAAGGAAAUGCACACUGCUGUGACACCGGCAUCCCAUCUCGGGUGCUGGUUCGAGUCCUGGCUGCUCCACUUUCUAUCCAGCUCCCUGCUAAUGCCCUUGGGAAAGUAGUGGAAGAUGGCCCAAGUGCUUGGGAGAUCUGGAUGGAGUUCCAGCUCCUGACUUCGGCCUGGCCCACUCCUGGCUGUUGUGGCUGUUUGGAAGAUGGAAGAUCUUUCUGGGUCUCUCUCUCACUCUGCCUUUCAAAUAAAUAAAUAAAUCUUUAAAUAAAAAAUUAAUGUAAGCAUUUAAAACAUUUAAACACAGGAAGAGGAAGGCCAGCCUCCAUGUAGCAGAAUAUUUGGGAAGAUGUUGCAUUUGUGUAUUUUUCCUCACGAUCUUCCUAGGGGACACGCUUGAGUGGCAUUUUAAUCGUUUCUGGCCUGGGCGGAUCCAUUCUGAGAGGUCGGUGCAGCCCGACUGGCCCCAGCUAUCUUCAUUCACUCCCAGAUGACAGUGUCGCCAAAUAGUCACCUGCUGUUCUGGAGUGUUCGGUCCCCUUCUGAAGAGCAAGGCAACCUGACUUCCCGCGGUAGGAAUCCGUCCACUCUCUCUCUGAAAGGCUCUGAUGCAGUUGACAGUCACUUGUGGUGAGGCCGAGGGGCACUGCUCAGACUCUUGGAGGCUCAUCCUGGAGGAGAAUGACUUCAUCUCUAGCGAGCUCUGUGGGUUUGUUUCACAUCUCUGCUCUUGGACCAGUUGGCUGCAAACAGAAAUCUCUCUCGGAAGAGCAGCUCACGCUUCUGCUCAGCAUCAGCUGGGCCGGGAGGUGGGGGAAGGGGCUUGCUGUAAAAUGCAGGCUCUCGGGCCCUGCCCCGCACCUGCUGACCAGGCAUCUGCGUUCAUGACAAAGGCCCCUGAUGAUUCAUGUGCGCAUUUACGUUUGAGAAGAACCAGAAAGCUCCUUACCUCCUGCACUGAACUAGGAGAGGGGAAAGCUCACCUCAGGAAAACUCCUGAAAGAGGAAGGUGACCCCACCCUGCAGUUGUGAAUGCAGCCCGCUCCCCCACACCUCCCCGCUCCUGGCGGUCACUUCCUGGAGGUCCUUGGAUUCAAUCAAUUGUGAAUCAGAAAUACUGGGAAAUAAAAUAAAACCGCAUCUGUUGUGAACAUGGGCGGACUUUCUUCUUGGUGUUAUGCCCUACACGAUGCAAUGUAAGGGUCGAUUGCACAGCAUUUACCUUGCAGGAGGCAGUGUAAGUAGACAGUGUGAAAGACACAGGAGGAUGUCUUUUUUUAAAUUUUUAUUUAGUAAAUAUAAAUUUUCAAAGUACAGUUAAUGGAUUACAAUGGCUUCCCCCUCCCAUAAUUUCCCUCCCACUCACACCCCUCCCAUCUCCCGCUCCCUCUCCCAUUCCAUUCACAUCCAGAUUCAUUUUGAAUUAUCUUUAUAUACAGAAGAUCAAUUCAGUAUAUAUUAAGUAAAGAUUUCAUCAGUUUGCACCCACACAGAAACACAAAGUGUAAAAUACUGUUUCAGUACUAGUUAUAGCAUUACUUCACAUUGGAAAACACACUAAGGAUAGAUCCCACAUGAGAAGUAAGUACACAGUGACUCCUGUUGUUCACUUAACAAUUUGACACUCUUGUUUAUGGCGUCAGUAAUCUCCCUAGGCUCUAGUCAUGAGUUGCCAAGGCUAUGGAAGCCUUUUGAGUUCGCCGACUUCGAUCUUAUUCCGACAGGGUCAUAGACAAAGUGGAAGUUCUCUCAGGAGGAUGUCUUUAAGCAGUGGGAAUUCUUUAUCGUUUUGCAUAAGCAGCUUGGGUAUCCAUGGGAGCCUUGGAAAUGGUCUCCCAUGAGUACUGAGGGACAAGCGUAUAUGCAUGCCUAGGAAUAUUCAUAUUAUGGUGCAUACAUUAUACACCUACCUAUACAUACACGUCCACGUUUCACACUGGAAUAUUUGUGUGUGUUUAGUGUGUGCAUCUAUAUGUGUUGUGUGUGUAUAUAUGUGUGUGUGCAUAUAUAUGUGUUAUGUGUAUAUAUGUGUGCUUAGUGCAUGCAUCUAUAUGUGUUAUGUAUAUAUGUGUGUGUUUAGUGUGUGCAUCUACAUGUGUUGUGUGUACAUAUAGAUGUGUGUGUGCAUACAUAUGUGUUAUGUGUAUAUAUGUGUGCAUAUAUAUGUGUUAUGUGUAUAUGAGUGUGUGUGCAUCUAUAUGUGCUGUGUGUAUAUGUGUGUGCAUCUAUAUGUGUUGUGUGUAUAUGAGUGUGUUUAGUGUGUACAUCUGUAUGUGUUGUGUGUAUAUAUAUAUAUGUAUGUGUGUAUGCAUAUAUAUGUGUUUUAUUUUUUAUUCUCUCAAGGGUCUCAGGCUAUUCCUUGGGAACCAGACAACAUCCUUUUUUGAACAUUUUAAGAGCAUGUUUUCCUUGAUAAAAUAAAUACAUCUAAUAAUAGUUCUUUCCAUUAGAUUUCCCAGGCAGACAAAACACAGCACUUGUCCCUGGGCCAGUCAGAUAAGCCAGGGUGAAGGGACAUGUGAAAUGGCAGCACGUCCUGCCUUCCCUGAUAGGGUCAUCCUGGUCCCCAGGGAGGAGGUGGGUCUGGACAUUGAGUUCCUGUGCCCACUGGAAAGGAGGCAGCGUCCCCGUGAGGAGGUGCCAGAAGCCUGCACCGUGGAAAUCCUGUGUCUGCCCCUGUCGGCAAGGCAGCAGGUGGUGUAAUUGGGAGCCAUGUGUGUGCUGUGAGAAGGGGCAGCCCGGGAGCUUCUGUCCUGUCAGGGUGGCUCCCUCCAGGGCUUGUAAAUGCCAGUAUGUGUGGCCUGGGGCCGCCAAACCCCAGUGCAGUCUCCUGUUGUCUCUGGAGCUCUUGGGCCCAUCUGGGCUUUGCCACUCACACUGGAUAAGUGACCUUGACUUUGGGCAAGUUGCGGGACAGUCUGAUGCUAUUGAUCCAGCAGGGAUGAGUACCGCCGAGGAGAAGAAUCCCCUGUGGUGCGCAUGCAGAUUCCCAGGCCCCCAGAGCCACCGAGGUGGAAUGUCCUCUGUGUUCACUGAGCUGCCAGGGGUGCCCCAGGGGAUCGUGGUUUGCACAGGUCUGGGGAGGCCACUCGAUCAGUGUCCAGCUCUCGUCCCUUCUUCCCUCCGAAUCUGCUGUGUUGGGACUUGCCAAUGACAAUGAAGAGGAUGAUUUGUGUCAUUGCUGGUGGAUGGUUAUAAAAUACAUAUACAUCACUGAAGUACUUGCCUGUUUCUGGGCUGAGUGUGCAUCUCCCCUGAAUCUUACGGUUGAGUUACUCUUGUGACCACUAAGUUUCCUUGGGUGUGGAAUGAACCCGGUGAUGAGACACACGUCUCUGAGGUGGGCUCUUUGUUUUGAGCAAACACCGUUGCUUCUGAGCUGAUAUUACUCUCUUGCUCCUCUUAUUGGCUGCUUGGGUUCAGAGGUCUCUUAAAUUAUGAAUUCGUGGAACAUGGACAACUAUGGUUUUUACGUACAUCCUUCCAUUUCCAUCAAAACUCUUAUAUCCUUGCAGGAGUUGCAGCAAGAACAGUUUUGGGAUUACUAUUGUUGCUCCCUCACUGAUCUGGCGUCACAAGCCUCUGUGGUGGAAGGUAGCUUUUUUCACGGUUGGGUAUAAAAUAGCCAACACGGUGUUGAGGCAGCAAAGAUAGAACUGUUUGCAGAGUUAAAAUGAUGCAAGAAGAAGGAGGAGGAUCUAAUAAUUAAAGGAGAGUUGAGUUGAGAAUAGUUUUUCUCUUUAUGAAAGUGAGGAGGAGGACCUUUGAAUAAUUAUAAUGAAAUGAAACUUGUGAAUCCACUUGAGGAACUGAAUGAAAUCCAACUCUGUUAUUAGUCACAGCCACGUCCACAAAUAGAUGGAGAGAGCAGAUGGGGACAGAGGUCAAGGCAGGCUGCAGGGGAGGAAUGCUGGGGAGGAACAGCCAGGGCGAGGUGGAGGGAAGCCCAAACUCCGCAACAUGGGGCCACUCUCAGCAGAGACAGGCUCCAGUCCAGUCCCUUUGGCCUUUCCUGAAAACCCCCUAGAUGGUCAGUUUCUUAGCAAAUCUCUUCCCAGUGCUGCUGCAGACCCCAGCGGUGCUUCUCGGGACUCACUCCGGCAGCUCGGCCUUCCAUGGGGUCGCUGCGGGGCUGGCCAACAAACACUGUCAGGACCAGGGUGGCAGGUGCGUGGGCCGGGAGAGAACCUCUGUAAGCAGAAAUGCAAGUGCUUGUUCUAUUUCUGCGCUAGCUAAGCCAAGGGGGGUUAUUAACUGUUUCCCGAGUGCCCGGGUAUCCACUAGGAGCUCUACAGGAGGCCAAAGAAAUGGAAUUUGUGAUGGCAUCAUGAUGAGUCCUGUGCUGCUGUAGAUUUCUCUGGGAGGCAGGGUUGAGGUCGUGGCGCUUCUCUGGGCCGCUGUGGAGAACAAGCAGGUGCUGUGAUAAUAUGCAGCGUGAGCACUCAAGAAAUGGUGCUGCCCUCAGUGUUAUGUUACUGUCACCUCAGGACUUUAUCCUUUCAUUGAGGCUGAAACAGCUGAUUAUAUCAAUCCGGAGCAACACAAGACGGAAAUUCCUGCACGGGUCUUAGAGCCUGAGAUCCUCUAGGUGCCUCCCAGCGACUGGCGGCUGGUGUGUGGGCUGGUCCAGCGGACUGCAGCCAUGUCUGGGGUUUCCUCUACUGAAGUUUAUGCUACAGUGGAGCUGCCCGCCCCUCGCCCAGGCCAUCAGCCUGUAAGGAGAGCUGCGCCAUAACUGCGCGUUUUGAUGGGCACCCCUUUCCUGCUCCAAACUUCUCUUUAUCAAUCUCCUUCCCUAAACUUUGGGUUGAGAUUUCCCAGUUCUUUUGGCAUUUAAAACUGGAAUCACAAGGAGUGGCAUUAUCCAGUUCACCAACAUUGAUUGAGCAUCCCGUGGGUGUCCUACAGUGGUUGGUCAAGAGAGGUGGGAAAGAAGAAACAGUCUACACCCCUCGCCCCGCUGACCCCAACCUUAUUAGAUGGAUGUUAAGGGUUAAGAAUAGAGCAGGAGCCAUGGGAGUUCAGAGCAGAGCUUUUAGCCCGAUCUGCAGGGAUUACAGAGGGCCUUUCUGAGCACGUCAAGCUCCAGUUUGUAUCUAAGGGAUGGCCAGGACUAAAACCAGGGUGGCACAGAGCAGGCGCUUGGUAGAGGGUCCCGAGGGAGUGAAGAGGUGUGGCCAGGCAGCAGAAGGAAAGCUGCCCAUGGCCGUGGGCAGUGGCCGGGGCCCUCUCAGACCUGCCUGCCCGGAGUCCAACCACAGUCCCAGAGGAGGAGCCAUUAGCAGCCCAGGGCCAAGACCCCAAGGUGCAGCCUGGUCUCCCCCUUCCCACAGGCCCAAUUUCCUGCUAAUCUUCCUACCAGUGUUUUUGUCAGUCCUAAAAGUUAAUUCUGGCAGUUCCAGGGCUCAUUCCUGGGACUUCUUAGAAAUGAAAUUAUACUCGGUGCCACUUCCCUUCCUUCUGAAAUUACUGUUGCUAUAUUUUUAGUACAUUUUGGGGGAGUGAAAAGCAUUAGUUACUUCUAGCUUUCCAUGUAACCUCUUCUGAUGACUACUCUCUUUGAAAGACUUAAAAAAAAAAAAAAAGAAAGGCUGUGCAGCCUGAAUUAACUUUUCUGUAAGAAAAGGUCUUUCGUGGUUUAUAAAUUUUAAUGCAGGACGCUAACUGCCAGGAUAUUCUUGGAGCACAACCAAGGGUCCGAGCAGCCUCCCGGAGCAGCUGAAGCAAGCCCAGCCUGACCUGCACCUGGACACAGGCUCCUUUCAUCCUCACGUUCAAAGCCACGACACCUCCUGGUUUCAACCUUAGGGCGUCCAGAAUGUUCUUUUAAGACCCAUUUCCUGGAAAUAGAUCUUUGCUGUGCUAAUGCAUAGUUUUUCACUUCGUAUUUUCUUAAGGUGCAUAAAUUGUAUUUUCUCCCCCUCUUGCAAAUAAGAAAAAAAAAAAAAGCCCAGGGCGUGGGGGUCUGUGGUCAGCAUGUCCCCUGUUUGAGGAGUACAGGCCAUUACUAUCCUGGGCUUUUAAAUAUUUCAUUGGCAUCAAGAGGGUCCCUACACUGGCCUAUUCAUUCCCUGUUCCUCCUCAGACACUAGGCUGGUCUUUUUGAUCCAAAGUGCUGAGUAAGAGAAAGUCGUCUGAAAAUUAGCGUCUUAAGUGAACGCCGGGGUCUUAGGCCACAAAGGGACCUGCUCCUGUGACUUGCUGGAGUCUCUUAUCAAUGCUGUUCCUUGUCCAUGUGCUCCAUAUCCGUUCUCUCUUUACACCGGGCGGCUCACUCAGAGCAACGUGUUUCAAAAUCUGCUCCAUCUGGGCCGGUAGCUUGAUGGGGAUGCCCUCCUGGGAGCCCUGGCGGCACAUGUCUCAGCCAGCUGACGACACUUAUGGAAGGACAAACAGACGCUGCCUGGUGAGCUUAGCCAAGGAUGCAUAAACUGGCUUUUCAGCCCGUCUGCCUUCUCACAGGGCAGCUAUAUUCCAUGUGGAAUGUUCCAUGUGGGAACCUGAUGCUGCAGGUGGCGUCUCUCUGGCAUGCGUCCCCAGGGGAACAUCUCUGUUCUUAGCUGACCGGUCCAUGCAUUCCUGUUGAACCACUGAGAUUUUACUCAGAAGACCCCAGGAGUCUUCCAGCAGAAGGAAGUAUAGUUUUUUUUUUUUUAAGAUUCAUUUAUUUAUUUGAAAUGCAAAGUGACAGAGAGGGAGGGGGGAGGGGAAGGAGAGCAAGAGCGAGAGCGAGAGCGAGCGAGAAAGAGAGAGAGAGAUGUCUUCCAACUUCACUUCCCAAAUGAUUGCAGCUGCCAGGGCUGGGCCAAGCCAAAGCCAGGAGCCAGGAAUGCCAUCGGGGUCUCCCAUGUAGGUGGCAGCACCCAAGCACUUGGGCCAUCUUCCACUGCCUUCCCAGGCACAGUAGCAGGAUCUGAAGUGAAGCAGCUGGAACUUGAAUAAGUGGUCAUGUGGGGUGCUGGUGUUGCAGGUGGCGGCCUGACAUGCUGCAUCACGUUGCUGGCCCUGUAGUGGAUUUUUGGGGAAGGCAGCGUGUUAGGGGGGAAAAGCCAGCAUUUGAGGGUUCCCAGGUGCAUUUCUGUCAGGAUGGGGUGGGAAGCUGAUUGGGCCCAGGAGCCUUGCUGGGAGGAAUUGCUCAGUGGACCUUUCUUGGCCAUAUCAAUGUUAAAAAAAAAUUGCAGAAGCCCCUGCCUGCGGGAUGGGGUCUUUGCAGUUUGUUAGAAAACAUCUUUUCCAAUAGUGUUGGUGUGAAAAAGUGGGAAAAUGCCCCCGGGAGGAGCCCUCAAGAGAGAAAUGAAGUGAGACCUUCACCCCCUCCCCAGUGAGGUUCAAGGUCCUUGAAGCACAUCUGAUGGACUCAAGCCUGCAGCUUGGAAAGCCUCUCAAGAGGCCUGCAGGAAACUCUCCUGAGCCGGGCGUCUGCUGCAGGGGUCUAGGAUGAGGUUGCCAAAGAAAAUGCAGAGCCCCCAGGGAAUUCUGAAUCUCAUACACGGUGGAUCACUUUUAUCCUGAUAGCUCCGUGUCGUGCUUGGGACACGCUUGUGGUGCCGAACGGUUAUUUGUUGCGGAUCUAAGCCUCAGGAUUCACUGGUCAUCUUGUAUCUUUAUUUGCAAGGGGACAGGGGCGUGGCCUGUAGGACAGGCUGGCGCAUGAUGGCUUUGCGAGAGAGUGGGCUGGAGCGCUGGAACCUUUAGCAGGGAGCUGCAUCAGACGCAGAGCAACUGGAACUUGAACCAGCUCUGAUAUAGGAGUUGGCAGUGCAGGCAUCUUUUUUUUUUCUUUAAGAUGUUAAAAAAUUUAUUUGACAAAAACAAAAACAAAACUAAAAAUGCCGGCGCCACGGCUCACUAGGCUAAUCCUCCACCUUGUGGCGCCGGCACACCGCGUUCUAGUCCCGGUCGGGGCGCCGGAUUCUGUCCCGGUUGCCCCUCUUCCAGGCCAGCUCUCUGCUGUGGCCAGAGAGUGCAGUGGAGGAUGGCCCAAGUCCUUGGGCCCUGCACUCCAUGGGAGACCAGGAGAAGCACCUGGCUCCUGCCAUCGGAUCGGCACGGUGUGCCGGCUGCUUCGCGCCGGCUGCGGUGGCCAUUGGAGGGUGAACCAACGGCAAAGGAAGACCUUUCUCUCUGUCUCUCUCUCUCAGUGUCCACUCUGCCUGUCAAAAAAAAUUUUUUUUUUAUUUGAGAGGUAGAGUUACAGACAGAGAGGGAGAGACAGAGAGAAAGGUCUUCCAUCUGCUGGUUUGCUCCGCAAAUGGCCCCAAUGGCUGGAGCUGAGCUGAUCUGAAGGCAGGAGUGAGGAGCUUUUUCUGGGUCUCCCACAUGGGUUCAGGGGCCCAAGCACUUGGCCCAUCUUCCACUGCUUUCCCGGGCCAUAGCAGAGAACUCAAUUGGAAGUGGAGCAACCAAGAUAUGAACCAGCACUUGUAUGAGAUGCCGGCGCCACAGGUGGAGAUGUUAGCCCACUAUGCCACAGUGCCGGCCCCCAUUGCAGGCAUCUGACCCCAAGCCUUUUUCUUUCUGAAGCUCUUUCUUCAGGCAACACGCAGUGAAUUAAAUAAAAAACAAAAAGCACUCCCUUUAGGGGGUGAGGACUCAAACGCCUCCCAUUCUGCAGAAAGCUUAAGCGUUCACUGCACUGCCCCUGUCGUAACAGCCGAGUGUCCUGCCGCCGUCGGAUGCCGUCUGUUAGAACUGUGUUUUCCAAACUGUGUGGCAUCGGGGUCGUGGGCUUCGGACCCACGACUUAACCUGCGUGUGCCUCGGUUUGCUUGUGUGCUCAGCACUUAGAAGACCGAGGCCAGCGCUGAAUAAAGGCUGUGACGGAGCUGUGGUAAUGCCUGGGUGAAUGACAGCCAUCAGUGAUGACAGCAGUAAUAAUAGUACAUGAACCAACCAGGUAGUGUUUUUUUUUUUUUUUUGUUUUGUUUUUUUUUUUUUGAGCCUCAUUCCAGAUCUUUGAAAUCAAAGCCCCCAGUCCUUGUGUGGAAGCGCAGCACUGCGCGGGUCUUGUGCGUUCUGAAGUUGUGGAAGUGCUGACUUACUUUGUCACAGCCGCCCUUGGGCAGCUUCCCCUCCUCCUCUCCGUGCAGCUGGGAGCGGCGGCUGCGCUUGAAGACUCUGGAGAAGGUGGAUCUUGUUUUGUUUGUUUAAAGAUUUAUUUAUUUACUUGAAAGACAGGGUUACACACAGAGAAGGAGACAUUCACAGAGAGAGAGAGAUCUUUCACCUGCUAGUUCAUUCCUCAAAUGGGUGCAAAGGGCAGGGCUGGGCCAGGCUGAAGCCAGGAGCCAGGAGCUUCAUUCAGAUCUCCCUUAUGGGUGCAGGGACCCAUGUGGCUUGGCUGGCUGCACCACAGGUGGGUCCCCAGCCUUUGGUUUUGGUAGUCAAUGAAGCCCUUUCUUUCUUUUUUUUUUUUAAAUAUUUAUUUAUUUAUUUAUUUAUUAUUUGAAAGGCAGGGUUACAGAAAGAGGGAGAGACAAUGACAAAGAUCUUUCAUCUGCUGGUUCAUUCCCUAAAUGGCCACAAUGGUCGGAGCUGGGCCAGAUGGAAGCUGGAAGCCAGGAGCCAGGAGCUCCUUCCAUGUCUCCCAUGUGGGUGCAGGGUCCCAAGCACUUGGGCCGUCCUCUGCUGCUUUCCCAGGCACGUGGAGCCAGUUCUUUAUGAGCCACGAAGACUGACAGAAAGACAGGAAGAGCAAUUUCCCCUUGUCCUGGUGGCUGCACCCGUUCUGCCUGUGUCUCUGCUCCCACGCUUGGGAUGGGCCACCUUUCAAAUCGCAGAGCCUAACGUGGUUUCCACCUCAGAUACUGUGUAUUGUGAAACUGGUCUUUCCUGCUGUGAGGUUACAAUAAGCUUUUCAGACAUUUAUUUUAACUUGAGGUCAUCAAAGGGUUAACUAUAUAGGUGGCAAAACUCAGGGUUUGGGGGUUGCUUAGAUUUGGGAUCCCUUGGAGCAUGGCCACUUUUCACGGUGCUUUCUCAUCUUUGGUGGUAGUGACCACAGUUCUGGGCAUGGUUUUUGUCUCCUCCAAGGUGGAAUGAGUAAUUUUCUCAGCGGCUGUCAGGGUGGAAUCUACUUAAGCAGACACCUAGCCCUGCGACCUGGUUUCCUGCCAACCAUGCACCUCAAGUCUAAAAAGACCGGACACCGCUUCCUGGUGAAAUGGUUCUGGCUUUGUGCGAGCAAAGCUCCUUCUUUCCUCUCACCCACUCCAUCUUCUUUGCAUUUUAUUACAUCUGUCUCUAACCAGAAAAACAUUUUCCUUUUUGGCAGUUCUACCAUUAGACAGUCCUAAUACUGGUUUUGGGCUUUUAUGUAUGUCCUAAGCACAUUGAAUAUGUGGAUUAUUUCAUCGCCUUUUGAGAAAUGUUUUAACUCCCUUUAAGAAUGAAACAUUGGUAAAGUGUGCAACAGAGGGUGAGAGCCGUUAGCCAAGAGAAAGGGAUGGCUUUGCACCACUGGCCUCUGGUUGUUCCUUGUACAACCCCAGAGGGUUACUGUGCUAGAGACGAGGGAGCAAGAGUGGGGAAAACAGACCUUCCAGAGGCUGAGAACAUUCCCUACUGGAGCUUUCGAAGUAGAAAGCUCGUGUCUGGACGGCUGUUUAUCAGGAAUAUAAGAACGUCCGGGGGCUGGUGUUGUGGCAUGGCAGGUUGAGCUGCUGCUUCUAAUGCUGAUAUCCCAUGUGGGCACCCCGUUCCAGUCCCGGCUGCUCCACUUCCAGUCCUGCUCUCUGUUGAUGUCCCUGGUGGGGAGGGCUGCAACGGAGCGCCCCUGCACCCACAUGGGAGACCUGGAUGAGGCUCCUGCCUCUUGGCUUCCGCCUACCCCAGCCCCAGCAGUUGUGGCCAUUUGGGGAGUGAACUGGCAGAUGGAGGAGCUCUCUCCCCCCGCCCCACCCCUCUCUGUGGCUCUGCCUUUCACAUAAAUAAAUAAGUCUUUAAAAAAAGAGAAGAACUAAUUAGACGCAUUCACAUACUUGUCCAACAUGGAAGACUCCUUGAUCUUUUAUUAAGGAAAUUGAAUCCUGAUAUACUUUGAAACAUGCUCUGCCCAUCAAAAUUUAAUUUAAGAGCUAAGUCCAACAUCCUGCUUAUCUACAGCAUAUUCCCAGUUCUGUUUUCGGUAUGCUGAGUUGUCUGUGUUAGGAGCUCUCCGUAGGCUGUGCUUCUGACGAUGUCCCUGUCACCUGCUCUUUGUCACCACCCAGGUGUUUGCUGAUUUCCCACCUGUGUGGUGCUGUGCCACACGCAGUGCUGAGAACCCUAGAUCAUGGCGGGCUCCAUCCUGAUGAGACGAUUUCUCUCCAGAUGUCUUGCAAAUAACCAGCACUGGGAUAAGUACAGAUGUGUGGGCUUUUUAGCAUCUGACCAUAAAGAACUAAUGGGUGAAUUUCUUUGGAGUGAUUUUUACUUGCUGUACUCAACCCUCAGAAAGCUCCCGCUGACACAUGCCACUUCCUUUCUGUAGCACAGAGUGGUGAAAGGUCCUCAGAUGCCGCUCAGUGUGCGUGCAGGGCUUGACGUCUCCUCAGGGGGAGGAAGCCAGGGGACCCCUUCUUUGCUCCAGAGAUCUGAGUCCUCUGGGAUUCCUGCUGCUCCUGCCCCUGCCCCCACCCAGAGCAGUUCCCUGAGGGACCCUCAGGAGCUGGAGCCGCAGGAGACCAGGGUAUUGGUGAUGAUGACUCAGCAGUCGCUGGAACUUCCCCCUCACAGAAGGCGCUCUGCAGCAGAUGCUGGGUGAGGAGGGGAGAUGUCCUUCGUGCCUACAGAGAGACCGUCUGAGAAAGGUCAGCGAGUUACAGCCAGUGUGAAGGGUGCCCCGAAGCGGCAGCAUCACGCUGUGUAGGAGGCCCAGGAAUUGGGAGCCCUCUGUGAGCGCUGACCACCUCACCAAGAGCAUCUGUCUGGCCAGAGGAGACUGGAGCCCAGCUGCCCACAGCCCAGCCACUUCCGUCUCACUCUUACUGAGCCUGCGAAAAGCCAAAACCAUGAGUUUAUGAGGUGUUCUCACUGGGCCGUGAGCAAAACGGAAACAGGGAAGAUUGAUGCUCAAGGAAAGAUCAGACGCAGCCCGGAGGGGCCCGUGAGGCCAGAGACCCUCCAGGUGGCUCCGUGUGAGGGAGGGCUCUCAGUCACUUUGAGAGACCUUCCAUCUUUUGUUUUUCCAAUAUUUGCAUGAUGAAUUGCUUGAGCAAUUUUAUUUCAAAAUACACUCUUCCCAAUGUUUUUGGGAAACAGAAAAAUCAUGUUUAAAACCUUACUUAAAUUUCUUGAUAAUUAUUGGUGCUCACAUAGGAUUUUUUUUGGUAGAAUUAAAGAAAUGAAAAUAUGAGAAGCUGGUGUAUCUUUGAAAAAAUGUGGAUCUUCAUGGUGUUACAAUAAAGCCUGAAAUUGUCAUGCCAAAAAUUGGAGCAGCCCAUUUAUAAUAAAAAUAUCUUCUAUUUAAAAUAUUUUUACAUGAAGAUUUUCUAUUUUUCACUUUACUUUUCUAUUAACAUGAGUACAUGCUCUGUAAAGCUUUUGGUGAGAAUCAGCAGCUCCUGCCUCUCCCAGCCCCAUUUUUCCCUCAGCAGAGGUGAACGUUUUCAUUUGUUUUAUCUCAUUCUUCUGUUGUUCAGUGCCACAUGUCUGCAUAACAAGCAUAUGUUCCUUUUGCUCUGUGUAUUUAAGUUUUAGAAAUUGACUUCUAUAGGGAGAAAGAUGAGGAUUAGAUCUCUUUUAUCUUUCAGUUCCCACACACACACACACACACAGCUUUUAUGCCCUAUAUCCUGCUGCCAUUCUCUUAACAUGGUUCUAAUUUUUGGCAAAUAAAAAUACAAUGUUUCAGUUAAAAAAUGCUCUUCAUUCCUGAGAGCAAUGUAUUAGAAAUUCUUCUUUCUUUCUCAGCUCUCUCCUUUCUCUGGAGUUAUUGGUAGCCUUGACUUUUAUUUUUUUUAAAUGCUUAUUUUAAAAAACACAUCACUAAUUCAAAACCAAACUAUAUACAAAUUGUCUAAAUCCAUUCUACAUAUCUUUUUUUAAAGAUUUAUUUAUUUAUUUGAGAGCCAGAGUUACAGACAGAGAAGUCUUCCAUCCAUUGAUGCACUCCCUAAAUGGCUGCAAUGGCCAGAGCUGGGCUAAUGUGAAGCCAGGAGCUUCUUCAGGGUCUCCUCUGUGGGUGCAGGGGCCCAAGUACUUGGUCAUCUUCCACUGCUUUCCCAGGCCAAAGCAGAGAGCUGGAUUGGAAGAGGAGCACUGGGACAAGAACCAUCACUUAUAUGAGAUGCUGGUACUGCGGGUGGAGGCUUAGCCUACUAUACCACAUCGCGGGCCCCUCUACAUAUAUUUAGAUGUAUUAAACAUUCUAUCAAUUUUGGCUCCUUGAGAAAACUUCUCCAGAGAUUUCUGACCAAUCUGGACUUUAUGCAUCUCUAAAUAGUUGCUCUCUAAACCUGAAGUCCAUUGAUAUCCUAGGAUUUUUGCUCCCCUUGGUCUGGAGAGACCCUGCCUCUUUUUGGUUUUCUUCCUUGUUUUACUUUUUGUUUAGACAGAAUAUAUCUUCCCGGAGUUUCCUGAGAAAUGAUACAAGAUUGUCAUAUUUUGAGACCUUACACUUCUGAGCACCUGUAUCUACACAUAUACAUUGGGUAAUAGUUCAUUUGGCUAUGGUUCUAGGUUGGAAAUAAUUUCUCUUCCAACUUGGGAAGGCAUUGAAAAGGCGUUUGGUGUAGCAGUUAAGACGCUCCAUCCCACACUGAAAUGCCUGUAUGCAAGUCCUGGCUCUGCUCCCAAUCCCAGCUUCUUGCUGAUGUAGAUCCUGAGACAGUGGUGACAGCUCUAGUUGGUUGGGUCCCUGCCACCUACAUGGUUCAUCCAGGGUCGAGUUCCUGGCUCUUCACUGAGCGUUUGAGUAGUGAGCAGAGUCUCUCUCUCUCUCUCUCUCUCUCUCUCUCUCUCUC